GAUGAACGCUGGCGGCGUGCCUAAUACAUGCAAGUCGAGCGAACGGGCGAGAAGCCUGCUUUUCUGAUGUUAGCGGCGGACGGGUGAGUAACACGUGGAUAACCUACCUAUAAGACUGGGAUAACUUCGGGAAACCGGAGCUAAUACCGGAUAAUAUUUUGAACCGCAUGGUUCAAAAGUGAAAGACGGUCUUGCUGUCACUUAUAGAUGGAUCCGCGCUGCAUUAGCUAGUUGGUAAGGUAACGGCUUACCAAGGCAACGAUGCAUAGCCGACCUGAGAGGGAGAUCGGCCACCCUGGAACUGAGAAACGGUCCCGACUCCUACGGGAGGCAGCAGGAGGGAAUCUUCCGCAAUGGGGGAAGGCCUGACGGAGCACAGCCGCGUGAGUGAUGAAGGUCCUCGGAUCGUAAAACUCUGUUAUUAGGGAAGAACAUAUGUGUAAGUAACUGUGCACAUCUUGACGGUACCUAAUCAGAAAGCCACGGCUAACUACGUG
rnacentral:rRNA from 1 species